AGACGGGGCCCGCACAAGCGGUGGAGCAUGUGGUUUAAUUCGACGCAACGCGAAGAACCUUACCUGGGCUUGACAUCCCGAUCGUACCUGCUGGAAACAGCGGGGUCAGUUCGGCUGGAUCGGAGACAGGUGCUGCAUGGCUGUCGUCAGCUCGUGUCGUGAGAUGUUGGGUUAAGUCCCGCAACGAGCGCAACCCUUGUCCUUAGUUGCCAUCAUUUAGUUGGGCACUCUAAGGAGACUGCCGGUGUUAAACCGGAGGAAGGUGGGGAUGACGUCAAGUCAGCAUGGCCUUUAUAUCCUGGGCUACACACACGCUACAAUGGGAAGGGACAAUAGGUUGCGAAGCCGCGAGGCGGAGCCAAUCCAGCAAAACUUCCCUCAGUUCAGAUUGCAGGCUGCAACCCGCCUGCAUGAAGUUGGAGUUGCUAGUAAACGCAGGUCAGCCAUACUGCGUUGAAUACGUUCCCGGGGCUU
rnacentral:rRNA from 1 species